GCCACGGUGGUCUAGCGGUUAGAACGCUGGCCUUGUAAUCCUGGAGUCUCGGGUUCGAUUCCCGGCGGUGCCC
rfam:Zootermopsis nevadensis contig18279, whole genome shotgun sequence.